rnacentral:rRNA from 1 species
GAGUUUGAUCGUGGCUCAGGAUGAACGCUGGCGGCGUGCCUAACACAUGCAAGUCGAACGGAUCCAUAUUGAAACCUAGUGAUGUAUGGAUUAGUGGCGGACGGGUGAGUAACGCGUGGAUAACCUGCCGUAUACAGGGGGAUAACACUUAGAAAUAGGUGCUAAUACCGCAUAAGCGCACGGUUCCGCAUGGAACAGUGUGAAAAACUCCGGUGGUAUACGAUGGAUCCGCGUCUGAUUAGCCAGUUGGCGGGGUAACGGCCCACCAAAGCGACGAUCAGUAGCCGGCCUGAGAGGGUGAACGGCCACAUUGGGACUGAGACACGGCCCAAAACUCCUACGGGAGGCAGCAGUGGGGAAUAUUGCACAAUGGGGGAAACCCUGAUGCAGCGACGCCGCGUGAGUGAAGAAGUAUCUCGGUACGUAAAGCUCUAUCAGGCAGGGAAGAAAAUGACGGUACCUGACUAAGAAGCCCCGGCUAACUACGUGCCAGCCGCCGCUGUAAC